AACGAACGCUUGCGGCAUGCCUAACACAUGCAAGUCGAACGAGACCUUCGGGUCUAGUGGCGCACGGGUGCGUAACGCGUGGGAACCUGCCCUUAGGUUCGGAAUAACUCCCCGAAAGGGGUGCUAAUACCGGAUAAUGUCUUCGGACCAAAGAUUUAUCGCCUUUGGAUGGGCCCGCGUUGGAUUAGCUAGUUGGUAGGGUAAAAGCCUACCAAGGCGACGAUCCAUAGCUGGUCUGAGAGGAUGAUCAGCCACACUGGGACUGAGACACGGCCCAGACUCCUACGGGAGGCAGCAGUGGGGAAUAUUGGACAAUGGGCGAAAGCCUGAUCCAGCAAUGCCGCGUGAGUGAUGAAGGCCUUAGGGUUGUAAAGCUCUUUUACCCGGGAUGAUAAUGACAGUACUGGGAGAAUAAGCUCCGGCUAACUCCGUG
rnacentral:rRNA from 1 species